AUAUGCCUAUAUCGUUAAAAAAAAAAAAAAAAAAAAAAAAAAAAAAAAA
rnacentral:ribozyme from 1 species